rnacentral:rRNA from 1 species
GAUCAUGGCUUAGGAUGAACGCUAGCUACAGGCUUAACACAUGCAAGUCGAGGGGCAGCGGGAUUGAAGCUUGCUUCAAUUGCCGGCGACCGGCGCACGGGUGAGUAACGCGUAUCCAACCUUCCGUACACUCAGGGAUAGCCUUUCGAAAGAAAGAUUAAUACCUGAUGGUAUGAUGAGAUUGCAUGAUAUCAUCAUUAAAGAUUUAUCGGUGUACGAUGGGGAUGCG